rnacentral:rRNA from 1 species
AGGGAAACCGAGUCUUAACUGGGCGUUAAGUUGCAGGGUAUAGACCCGAAACCCGGUGAUCUAGCCAUGGGCAGGUUGAAGGUUGGGUAACACUAACUGGAGGACCGAACCGACUAAUGUUGAAAAAUUAGCGGAUGACUUGUGGCUGGGGGUGAAAGGCCAAUCAAACCGGGAGAUAGCUGGUUCUCCCCGAAAGCUAUUUAGGUAGCGCCUCGUGAAUUCAUCUCCGGGGGUAGAGCACUGUUUCGGCAAGGGGGUCAUCCCGACUUACCAACCCGAUGCAAACUGCGAAUACCGGAGAAUGUUAUCACGGGAGACACACGGCGGGUGCUAACGUCCGUCGUGAAGAGGGAAACAACCCAGACCGCCAGCUAAGGUCCCAAAGUCAUGGUUAAGUGGGAAACGAUGUGGGAAGGCCCAGACAGCCAGGAUGUUGGCUUAGAAGCAGCCAUCAUUUAAAGAAAGCGUAAUAGCUCACUGGUCGAGUCGGCCUGCGCGGAAGAUGUAACGGGGCUAAACCAUGCACCGAAGCUGCGGCAGCGACGCUUAUGCGUUGUUGGGUAGGGGAGCGUUCUGUAAGCCUGUGAAGGUGUACUGUGAGGUAUGCUGGAGGUAUC